ACGACUACAUUAGAUACCCGCGUAGUUCUAGCCGUAAACGAUACUCGCUAGGUGUCGGCCACGGUGCGACCGUUGUCGGUGCCGUAGGGAAGCCGUGAAGCGAGCCACCUGGGAAGUACGGCCGCAAGGCUGAAACUUAAAGGAAUUGGCGGGGGAGCACCACAACGGGUGGAGCUUGCGGUUUAAUUGGAUUCAACGCCGGAAAUCUUACCGGGACCGACAGCAACAUGAAGGCCAGGCUGAAGACUUUGCCGGAUUAGCUG
rnacentral:rRNA from 1 species